GACGAACGCUGGCGGCGUGCUUAACACAUGCAAGUCGAACGGAAAGGCCCUGCUUUUGUGGGGUGCUCGAGUGGCGAACGGGUGAGUAACACGUGAGUAACCUGCCCUUGACUUUGGGAUAACUUCAGGAAACUGGGGCUAAUACCGGAUAGGAGCUCCUGCUGCAUGGUGGGGGUUGGAAAGUUUCGGCGGUUGGGGAUGGACUCGCGGCUUAUCAGCUUGUUGGUGGGGUAGUGGCUUACCAAGGCUUUGACGGGUAGCCGGCCUGAGAGGGUGACCGGCGACGUGGGGACUGAGAGACGGCCCAGACUGCGACGGGGGGCAGCAGUGGGGAAUAUGGCACAGUGGGCGGGAGCCUGAUGCAGCAACGCCGCGGGCGGGAUGACGGGCUGCGGGUUGUAAACCGCUUUCGCCUGUGACGAAGCGUGAGUGACGGUAAUGGGUAAAGAAGCACCGGCUAACUACGUG
rnacentral:rRNA from 1 species